UGCUUGAGGCGCGUGGCGACGCGCGUCCUAGAGGAAUGAUCGCCGGCGCGAGGGGGGCGACUCCCCGCGCAACAGAACUC
rnacentral:misc_RNA from 1 species